GGACAGGUGUAUAGUUAGACAGGUGGACAGGUGUAUAGUUAGACAGGUGUACAGGUGUAUAGUUAGACAGGUGUACAGGUGUAUAGUUAGACAGGUGGACAGGUGUAUAGUUAGACAGGUGGACAGGUGUAUAGUUAUACAGAUGGACAAGUGUACAGGUGUAUAGUUGGACAGAUGGACAGAUAUACUGUAUAAUUAGACAGGUGUAUAGUUAGACAGGUGGACAUGUGUAUAGUUAGACAGGUGUACAGGUGUAUAGUUAGACAGGUGUACAGGUGUAUAGUUAGACAGGUGGACAUGUGUAUAGUUAGACAGGUGUACAGGUGUAUAGUUAGACAGGUGUACAGGUGUAUAGUUAGACAGGUGGACAGGUGUAUAGUUAGACAGGUGUACAGGUGUAUAGUUAGACAGGUGGACAGGUGUAUAGUUAUACAGAUGGACAAGUGUACAGGUGUAUAGUUAGACAGGUGGACAGGUGUAUAGUUAUACAGAUGGACAAGUGUACAGGUGUAUAGUUAGACAGGUGGACAGGUGUAUAGUUGGACAGAUGGACAGAUAUAUAAUUAGACAGUUGUACAGGUGUAUAGUUGGACAGGUAUAUAGUUGGACAGGUGUACAGGUGUGUACAGGUGUAUAGUUGGACAGAUGGACAGAUAUAUAAUUAGACAGUUGUACAGGUGUAUAGUUGGACAGGUGUAUAGUUGGACAGAUGGACAGGUAUAUAAUUAGACAGUUGUACAGGUGUAUAGUUGGACAGGUGUAUAGUUGGAGAGGUGUACAGGUGUGUACAGGUGUAUAGUUGGACAGAUGGACAGGUAUAUAAUUAGACUGUUGUACAGGUGUAUAGUUGGACAGGUGGACAGGUGUAUAGUUAUACAGAUGGACAAGUGUACAGGUGUAUAGUUGGACAGAUGGACA